GACGUCUGAAAAAGGAUUUCCGGGAAACCCGAUGUGUGAAAAGAACCUUCUUCAGAUAAACGGGUUUUUCAACUAGUCCCUAUAAAUUUAGGGACAAAUUGAGCGAGAAUCAUUUCGGCCGCAAGACAAGAAGAAAGAAAGAUACCUGUUCGACAAAUUGAGCGAGAAUCAUUUGGGCAGCUAGACAAUAAGAAAGAAAGAUACCUGUUAUUCACAAGUUAUAACGAAGAUGCCUGAUAAUUCUUAUGGCGACAGAGGUGGCUUUUGUUUCGCUGGAAACAGCAAUAGUUAUGUCCAGAAAAGGCGGGGUCGAGUUUAUAUCGAGAGUCUAAAAGUGGGAGAUGAAGUGUUAGUUAUCUUCGGGAACGGAAAGAUAGGGUACUCGGAGGUUUGGUGUAUGGCCCACGCAGAUGCUGACAAAGAAACAGAAUUCGUGGAAAUACGAACACCCACGAGAGAAAUACACAUAAGCCCACGACAUUUCAUAGCCGUGAUGAAAGAUGAUUUGGAACUGGACAUGGUUAUGGCCAACAAGAUAAAGAUUGGCGAUUAUCUGGUUGUCUGUGACGUUGAUGUUGAUGCUAAUAGCGAUGGAACUAUUACCAAAGAACCAGUGGUGAGCAUCGAAACGAUACAAGGCAAGGGAAUAUAUAAUCCCUUUACCAAAGAAGGGACACUUUUGGUUAACGGCAUCUUGGCAAGUUGCUACGCAGAGGUCAAACCAAGCCUUGCCCAUAACGCUUUGGCACCAUUUAGGGCUAUGUAUAGCGUGGCCCCAAAAGUGGUCAUGGAUACCAUCAUGACCCCUAAUGAGGGUGGAAUUCCACACGUGCUCGAUGCAGCAUUCAGUGUACUAGAACCUGUUGUUGCUGAGCACUAAACUGUCUUGAUCAGAAUUGCAUAUUUAUUCUACAUAUUUGGUUGGUUACGAAUUAAUACUACAUUUAUUAAAUAUAACCAUGUAAUUAGCUUUUAUAUAGGUUUAGUUUUAAAUUCGAUGCUUAAUUAUAUAAUAUAAAAUCUGUGUAAAUUCUAUAACACUAGAUAUUCAAUAACAGUAAUAUGAAAAAAAUGAUAUAUAUUUUUGGGUAACAUUGUCAUUGGUUUGGGGAUGGGCAGGGGUGGGGGUGGGGUGGUGGUGCGGUCAAUCGGGGAUUGGAAUAAGGUUCAUGUGGUAUUGUAAGUAUCAGCCAUAUCCAAACCUUUUAAAAGAUUAAACACUUUACAUAUAAAUGUACUAUUUACUUAAUGUAGUAUUCAAAAUGUUCAAUUAGAAAUCUUUUUCUGUUAAUUAACACUGCAUAGGACCAACCUCAUAGCGCAAACAACUAUAAUUUAUGUCCCAAUGACUUAAAAGAGAAUUAUCGUGACUUGUUGAAUGUCGAACUAUUAUGUUCGUUUAUGAAUUGAUUAUGUUCAAUCGUAUUUAUAUUUUUGGUUUUCAAUGAAUGUAAACAGUCUUAAUUGCUGAUGAUUUAAAACUUUGUAGUAUUUUAUUUAUUUUAUUUGUAGAACAUUAACACCCAUAUACCAUUCUUAUGUACUUUCCCGUUUUAUAUCGUAACUUGAUUUGCAACCUAAUUUCGUGAUUUUUUUAUUUGCUUUAAAAAUAAAUAUGAAAUCAAAAUUGA